GACGAACGCUGGCGGCGUGCCUAAUACAUGCAAGUCGAACGCUUCUUUCCUCCCGAGUGCUUGCACUCAAUUGGAAAGAGGAGUGGCGGACGGGUGAGUAACACGUGGGUAACCUACCCAUCAGAGGGGGAUAACACUUGGAAACAGGUGCUAAUACCGCAUAACAGUUUAUGCCGCAUGGCAUAAGAGUGAAAGGCGCUUUCGGGUGUCGCUGAUGGAUGGACCCGCGGUGCAUUAGCUAGUUGGUGAGGUAACGGCUCACCAAGGCCACGAUGCAUAGCCGACCUGAGAGGGUGAUCGGCCACACUGGGACUGAGACACGGCCCAGACUCCUACGGGAGGCAGCAGUAGGGAAUCUUCGGCAAUGGACGAAAGUCUGACCGAGCAACGCCGCGUGAGUGAAGAAGGUUUUCGGAUCGUAAAACUCUGUUGUUAGAGAAGAACAAGGACGUUAGUAACUGAACGUCCCCGGACGGUAUCUAACCAGAAAGCCACGGCUAACUACGU
rnacentral:rRNA from 1 species